CAGCAGAUACUGAAGCUGUUAAUGGUAAAUUCAUACUUACAAUGUUACAAAAAUAAGAUUCUGAUUAUGUAACAAAAGAUUGUUUUAGGUUGAAGAAGUAAAUAAUAGUAAGAAUAAGGACUUUUGCAAAAACCAAGGCUUAUAAGGACAUGUAAGAACAGAGCCCUUUGAACUAUCAAGUUGAAAUAACUGCAGAAUUCUACCAAGGACAUCUGCAGAACAAAAAUAAAUAAUAAAGGGAUAUUUCUUUCUUAUUGACAACGUAUCACAGGACCCAAUGGCUGUGUACCUCCGAUUACUGAUCAUGACGUUUCCGUUUUAGAAAAAUGAAACGAGGCUAUCGAUGCCACCUGAGUUUGAAAGGACCAUUGUCUGCCACAGCACCUAAAUGCAAAGGACUUCCUUCUGACACGAGGCUUGUGGUGAUGUGAAAGGGAAAUGAGGGUCCCUACUGGGACUGGGAACAUCGUCACAUUUGUGAGGCCAACUGCCACACUCCUGCUUUUCUUGUUCCCUGACAAGACUUGUCCCAGUCCUUUCUCCUGGGAAGCCUUUGACAGCAAUUGCAAACAACAGAAGCCAGCAGGACCAUGUAAGAACAGGUGCUGGAGCCUCCCGGGGCGGCCUGCCUGCAGAGAAAGGGCCUCCUCCGCGCAGCCCUGGGACACCCCACUGCGGAGGUGCCCUCUGGCCCCCAGCCACUGCAGGAUCAUGCUUCUUUUUACACAACAGAUGUUUGGAAAGAUUGGUGACAAUGCAUUAUGGCUUCUAAGUUGCUGCUGUCUUCAGACGAUCAGAGAAAGUAUUUGAUGGUGAAAGACAGAAAACUGAAUAAUGUCAUCAAAAUUUGCCUUUUGUCUUGUGCUGUUGCAGCUACUUUUCUUGGUAAGUCAGUGGUGUUAAAGACAUGUUGUUGUACAACCAAUCUCCAGAACUCUUUUUAUCUUGCAAAAGAAACUCAGCACUCAUUAAACAACUCCCCAUUGCCCCUUCCCCAACCUCUGUCAACCAUCAUUCUACUUCUGUCUUUGAAUUUGACUACUCUAGCUAUCUCAUACAAAUGGAAUCAUGCAGUAUUUGCUUUUUUGUGACUGGCUUAUUUCAUGGUUCAUCCAUGUUGUAAUAUGUGUCAGAAUUUCCUUUUUUUUUUAAGGCUGAACAGUUCCAGUGUAUGUACAUAUCACAUUUUAUUUAUUUAUGCAUCCACAGAUGGACACUGGGUUGCUUCCACCUUUUGGCAAUUGUAAAAAAAGGCUGCUUUGAAUAUAGAUGCACAACCUUUGGUGGCUUUAUUUUUUUCAUUAUUAUUUCUUUUAAUCCUCACCCAAGUAUAUGUUUUUUAAAUUAUUUUAGAAAGAGAGGAAAGGAGAGAGAGAGAGAGAGAAAGAAAAAAAAACAACAUUGAUAGGAGAGAGAAAUAUUGAUCAGUUGCCUCUCAUUCGUCCCCCAAGUAGGGACCAAACCGCAACCUGGGUAUGUGCCCUGACCAGCAAUUUUACGAGUCAUGGGACGAUGCUCCAACUGAGUCACAUAGGGCAAGGCACCUUCACUUGUUUUAGAAUGUGAUUGUUGCAUGCUACAGAGUAAAUAAAGAUCACAGCAUAUACUGGAUUUAAAAAAUCACAUAAAAUUGCAGCAAUAAAAACAUUAGCCAAUGUUUGUCAAGUGCUUACUAUGUGCCAGGCACUGAACCAUGAACAUCACUGGUAUUAACUCUUUGAGAAAUGUACUAUUAUUAUCCUUAUUUCAUAGAAGUGAAAAGUGAAGCACAGAGAGGUUGGUUAACUUGUCCAAAGUCACUCAGCUAGUAUGUCACUAGGAUGCAAAUCUGAGAAAUGGGAGGCAAGAGUCUGUCCACUUGGUGGAGGAAAAAAAUCACAGCCAAAGCCAAGUAGUGAAGAACUCCUUGACCACUGCAAAGGGUGUGGCCUGGCCAAAAGAGCAUUCUGACAGGAGCCAGAAAAACCAUUUCUAUCACCACCUACCUGUAGGACUCCUAACAAGACAACUACUCUCUACGGGCUCAGUGCUGUAAAAGGGAAGUUGAAUUGGGUGUCCUAUGGCCUGUGGUUUCUAACAAUCCUUCAUUCCAAAUGAGACUUACUACCUAAUACUUUAUAACUUUGAGCAUCGUUUCACCUACUUGGAGAUAAUGAUGUAAUUUUAAAUUUUUAAAUGUGUGCUUAUGUCUCUAAGUUUUGAUAAUGAAUAGUUUCUGAUUCUCAUUCCACUAUAUCCAGUCGUACCUCUCUAACGAAACUAAAAUGUAAGAAUGCAAUGACAGGACCCAUAAGAAUGUAUGAGGUAAAAUGAGGUUUCUCCUCCAGAGGGUCUCUAGGUGUGUCUACCCCAACAAAAGCAAAGUAGAGAAUUGUGACCAGUGCUCAUUUAAUAUAUAGUCACAUAAUUAGGAUCAUAUAAUCCCCAACGCCCUGCCACUGAGUCCCCAAUGAGAGGAGUGAAUCUGAAUGAAUCCACGUUUUCCUCUUCACUGUCAAAAUCUAUCACUUUAUUGUAUCUCUAAAAACAUGAUUGUAGAGAAGUACCCUCACCAUCAUAAAUAGUUUUACUAGCUCUUGUGGUUCUAUGGUGAUGAAUUUAUGUUAUAGAUCUUUCUGUGUUCAUUUUCAGAGCACAACCCUAAUUCUUAUUGUAGUGAUUAAAUUGGACCAGAGGAAACAAAGGAAAAAUAUUUCUCAAAGAAAAAAUUUUAAAGCAUUUUAAAAAUUCUGACAUCCUAAUGAAGAGCAUUUGAAUGCCAUUGACCUAAUUUAUAAGUAGGUGCAUGUUUGGAAACUCGUGAAGAACACUUGCCAGAAAAGGCCUCGUAAGCCAGGCUCCAAAGAAGCCUUGAAUUGUUUGAAUUCUGUGCAAAUCAAGUGACAAAUGCUUAUUUAACCAAAGUCCAUGAAUUUCAAAUAGAGUUCAGACAAGUGAUAGAUCAGGUCUGUAUUUUUUAUAAGUAAUAUCGGCAGGUAAAGUACAAUAUUAAUUUUUAAAAAUGUUUUCAUUUACUUUUAGCCAGCAUUUACAGCAGGGUUGAUGAUUUUAUUUUAAACCAAAUUAUUACAACGGAAGCAUCCUCCAUAUUCCAAUUCAUGAAUUGCUAUUUGACAGACAGUAACUACAUUCAUCCUUUAGCCAAGCUAGAGGAUUCUGUGAUACAUACUGUAUCUUCCAUUUGUGGUUUCAGAAGGUGCAAAUUCUCUAAAUCAGACAGAAGAGGGAGCUAACCAUCUGGAAAUUAACUGAUCCUUUCAGCCAUAUGUCAAAUAAAUAUAGAAAAAAAUUCUAAUAUGAUCAAGUCUGUCUUUGUUUGGUCUUGUAUUUUAUAGCAAAACUAUAAAUUUUCUGGUACAUAAAAACAAGAAGAAGAAAAAAACAGCCAGCAAAGGCAAAAAACAUUGAACUAAAUUAAUGAACAGGCAAAAUAUACAAAACAUUAAAAGGUCAAUUAAAAAUACACUCAAAUUUUAUGAUUUGCUCUCACGUUUUAUAGUAAAAUGUAGAAUCAGAAUACCUCCCCAAAAAGGCCAAAAUAAUAUUGUAUUCCAUACACAUCAUCAGUAUUUCCUUGCAAUAA